rnacentral:lncRNA from 13 species
GUGUCCCCUGCUCUGGGUUCAGGACAGGUCCCUGGCUCAGCCCAGCGCCCUCCCCAUCCGUGUCCUUGCCAGAGCUGCCAGCUCACGCUCCUCCCUGCAGCCCUUGUGCUUGGAGCAGAGGAGCAGAUGGCGGCUCUGAGGGCCACCUGGGUGCCCUAGACGCUUCUCCCUUCCCUGCACCAUGGAGGGCCUGUGGCCUGCCAGUGGCUCCAGAACGGAAAAACCGGCAGUUCUCACUCCCAUCCUCCUUGCCGGCGUCUCUGGAAGCACGAAUGUGUUAACCGUGUCAGGCAAAGUUGAGAUUUCUAAGCUCCACAAGCCCCGGGCCGCCCAGCCUCCACCUCCCUCCCACGUGCCUCUCUCCCCCGCCACAGCUCUCCCAAGGUCUCCAGACUUUGCAAAGCAAUCAUCGUGGGCUGCGUCGCCGGGGGUUUUCUUCACACUGAAAUUAUCCAGAGAGAAGGCGAGAGCCCCUGCGUGUCCUCUGUGGGCGUGCUUGUCAAGCGGACACUGGCGGAGUGGGCCCGUGUGUGUGGAAAACGCCCACCUUUUUGCUGCCUCACCUUGCCUCUGCGGUCUGUGGUUAUAACCGAGGCCGCUGCCUGCCUGGCCGGCCACUUGGUCAUUCAAGGAGCCUCUGUGGUGUCCUCAGGGCAUCACAAUAGCCGAGCCAAGAGUGACUUUGCUGUUGCAAUAAGCAGCAAGCCAGCUGAGGUUCCCAGCCUCUUCUUCGUCCACCCACUGGCCCCAGACUCGAAAGCCCUUGUUCUUCCUGUUCGUUCAGUGACUCUCGUAUUUUACAUUCCUGCUCUCGGGACUCAGGAAACCAGGGAGAUGCCCUAUUUGUCAGGACUCAUCAGGUUGCAAAGAACAAAGGAUACAACUCCUGGUGGCAUCAACAUAAAGGAAAUGUAUUGGCUUAUGUAAAGCAAGAGUUCAGAACUUUCAGGUAAGGCUUGAUCUAGCAGCUCAAAAGACUGUCACCACAGACCCAGCUGUAUUCUAUCUCUCUUCAUCCUUGGAUCCAAAUGGUGCCCCCAGCAUGCCCAGACGCUCCCCUUUUGCUAGUGAAAUGUCUGCCCGGACUGCAAAUUCAUACCCUUAGGACUCCUCACCACUCCAUUCUGGGGCAGAAAGGAUCAAUUUCGGUAACACUAAACAGUCCUGAAAUUGCCUCUUUAUUGGCUAAAAGUAGAUCACAUGCCCCUUCCCAACCAAUCCCUGUAACCAGGGGCGGGAGGUGCCGAUUGACUUAAGCCAAUCAUGGCCACGUUAGAGUGGAGUUAGAGUCAGUUGUGGAGAGCUGAGUCUCAGUUGGCUGGAGAAAGGAGAGGUGACCAACGAAUGUCCACUAGUCACCUAGCCCAGGCAAUACACUGUCACUUACUGGGCUCCUGUGACAUACAGGAUCUAUCUGCUGUGCUCCCUUAUGUGCACGGUCCCAUUCAAUCCUCACGACAGCCCUGAGAGAAGAGCACUCUGGGCUUCAUCUUGCAGCAAGGAGGCUAAGCUCCCAUAGGUGCAGCCAGGUCGCCACACAGCCACUCAGCCACCGCCCCACGACUCAAAGGAAGUUAAGGUUGCUGCCCAGGUCUGGUUUUCCAUUUACAGCAGGGGCUUUGUGCACGUCCGGAGCUAAAAGCCAGCAUGAAUUAGAUCCUCAGCGUUUCCUGAACUAUGCCCCCUGCCCACCCUGGAGGGCACUGGGGACUUUGGGCUUCUCAUGUGAGCACCUGCGUUGUUCUGCUGAGGGCUUCUCGGGCUGUGGUCCCGUACUUUGGCCUACAGGCACUGGGCAGGCUGGAAGUGCCAGAGGUAACAGCCCUGGAGCAAAUCCUCAAGUAACAAGGGGCGGGAGUGGUGGACAAACACCCUAGCUUCCUUGCCCCGCAGCAGACCAGCUCCCAGGUGCAUUCUGCCCCACUGCCUGGAGGGCGCUGGCAGGCUAAGCCCCGGUGUUAACCUGCUCACUGACACCCCCACCCUGUCUCACUUCCCCAUUCCUGCACAUGCGUCCUGGAACCGCCUCCCGCAGAAGCCACCGGUACCCAAAUGCUUGUCUCAGGGUUGACUUUGAAGCUUCAAACUAAGACAGCAAGACGGCCUGGCCCUCCUGUGUCCAGGUAACCUCUGUGUGAGUGUUCCCUGUGCUGGCUCAGGAUCUGGGGGCAGGGCCAGGGGAGGAAGAGAAGGCUCAGUCGUCCAGGUCUAGCUGAGGCCAUAGGCCAACAUACAGUACCUGAUCUGGUGUUUGAAGGACACUUCCUUACACUACCUACCUGAUGCCUAAAUACUCCCUACAACUUUGCUGCCCGGUCAUCCCACUCCACUUGCAUGCCCCUAGAGAUGGGGAACUCAGUACCCUUGUCCCAACCAGCUCCAUCUAUAGAAUCCCCUGACUGCUUGAAAUGUAUCAGCUACUUAAUAAAUAAUGCAUGUUGAGCUAAUGUCUAAACA